CAUGGCUAAGUAUAGACUUCCAUCCUUGUCACUGUAUGACGGCAAGCAUGCAGCAGCAUCUACUGCUAAUCUGAGAGAACUACACCUCCUUAAUGAAUAGAGGUGACAGCAAUAGCAGAGACCAGGUGGCACCCUUUCAAUAUAUAUCAGUGUUUCAGAUCACCACCUUCUUGUGGCAGCCAGCAAUGUGAGAGACAGAUCGCAAGCCCAAGAGCAGCAAUUAGAAAAGGUGAUAUUUGUGCUAAACACCAACUGCAAUAAAUCUUGUCAGUUGGAAAGCUGCCAGUUCGAAGCCCAGAUCAGGGUGAACACCUGACCUUUAGCCCACCUUCUGCCAACCUAGCAGAUCGAAAGCAAAAAUACAUAAUAACUCGCAUGGGGAUCAGUCAGACAGAUAGAUCAGUAGCUAGCUGCUACCUUUUUCUCUGCUACCAAUUAGUUACGUCUGAGAACUCUGAACUAUCCCAAUCAAGAAACUUGCCUACCUUCAAUACCAGAGCUUCAAUACCAGAAUGGUGCCCAAGGUUAAUAAAAUCUUGAAAGAAGAGCACUGCUACAUCAAAGAUCCAGCUAGUCCAACAGCUGGUUGUGAACUGCAGCCUGCAAAAUGUUUCUGGAAGCCCAAUAAAAGAACAGGAAAGCACACAAACACACACACACUGUGGAUCUCAUCUUCAAAUAUUGGUGGCAUGCUGUCUUGGGAAGUUGAACGAAAGUUCAGUUUAGCGCCCAUGUCACUCCGUGGUGCUCUUUUUCGCAACUGGGUGAUCAGAGCCGUACGCAGCGUUCCAAAUGGAGCUGCACCAUCGAUGCAUAUAACAGCAUUACCAUAUCAGUUAUUUCGUUUUCAGCCUUUUCCCUAAUAAUUCCUAGCACACAGUGUCACUGGAUAUAGUUAACAUUUUCAUUAGGGCAAGAGAUCUUGAACAGGGAUAGCCAGGCACAAUGGUGCUGGAUUUGUCAUUUGGGGGGUUGCAAAGAAUCAAGAAAGUUAUUAAAAGGCAUACACAGGAAAAUUCAGUGUUAAAAGGUUAAAGCUUCAUUUGACAGAUAGUGAGCAUGAGAAAAUGGAAAGUAAAUGGGUUGCUAAAAUGUUUUACAUUCAUACUCAUAACGGGCAAGGGGAGUCGCCAUUUUAAUGAACAGAGAUGUAUCAUCUCACUUAUAGAGCCUUCGAACUGAUGAUAAAGAACCAUACAUUAGACCUGCAGGAUUAAACAGCCUGCAGAUACAGAUUAUAAAUUGUCAUGCACCAAAUGGGAACAAAUUGCCCUUAAAAGUCAUUCUUACAUGGAUAAAUCAGCAAAACUGCUGAAGAAUACUUGGCAAGGGCAGGGGUGAGGUGAUUUCCUACAGUGUCUUUUAACUUACUAGAAGGUCCUUCACAGUCUUCCAAAGGAAUUGUUUCCCAACCUUCUUUGAGAAUGUGCAGUACCAAUGGCAAUAUAUGCUCCCUCUCUCUGUUGUUCUUUGUUAUGUUCAUACAUACUAGAUACUAGCCUGCCUUCUUCUAACCCAUGCAGUACCGAAAGCAAUAUACCCUGUGGUUAAAAGCAAUGCCAAUGGGCAAACUAGCAGCAGCACAUGAAAGAGUUUGCUGUAGAAAACCUGUCGGCACUUUUGCUGGUUCUUCCUACUUGAUUGGACAUUCUGGAUCAAAUUUAUCAGCGACAACUUGGAAAAUUUUGUGACUAGGCAAACAGUAGUUUAUGUACAAAAAAAGAACCAUAAAAACUCAUGGAUAAUUCCCAGGAAUGGAAAAACAUGCCACAGCAACAUGGGGAAAACCCCUGUCCCAGUUCCAUAAGACCAGUAGCAAACAGUGGAAAGGCUUAAAAUGGUGUAAAUUUGUAGAAGGUGAGUGGGUUUUUAUACCGGGGGUACCCCUCAGUGAGAGUCCUUCUCACAAGAUCAAGGUCUUGUGCAAAGGAGCCCCAUCCCCAGGUCUCACAACUAUUUCCCUUUGCAGCCUUCAUGAGAACAGGCAAAUUCCACAACAACCUGGUCAAGGAAGCUGCUUGGCUCAAGGUGGACACUGGCUGGAAACCACCAUAAUGGAUCCUCUGAAGUUUGCAGACAUUCAUUCAAUAAUGCCUAGGGACCUCAUCACGUUUAUGAGGGGCAGCGGGGUGAUUCAGCAACCUCUGUGAUAAAUCCGCAGGGCAGGGGGGCAGUCCUAUCACCCCGCAGCCCACCUUGCCCCUCACCUUUUCCCACUGGGAGAAGCAUCACCACCCAACUCCCCCCCCCCCGCCCCAAUUAUUUGUAUGUAACACAGGAAGCAUCCCAUGUUACCAGCACAGCCUCCUCCAACUACACCCGAUGGAAGUAGAUCGACGUCAUGUGAUGAGAUCCAACAGGCUCCAUGCCUGAAGAGAGAUGCAAGUGUCGUAGGACAGAUAAUUUUGCCCAUCUAAUGAGAUGGUAGGUCAACAUUGGAAAUGAAUAACAGGGUACCAUAUCAGAACUUGACAAGAGACUUUUGUAAUAGUUAUUAACCCCAACAAUUUCCCAAGAACCCUACAAGUAAUAAGCUAUUAUUAGUGUUACAUACUUUUUAAAGUAAUGUUUUUGUGAAGUCAUAGAUAGAUAGAUAGAUAGAUAGAUAGAUAGAUAGAUAGAUAGAUAGAUAGAUGAUAGAUAGACGGACAGACAGACACUUUUAAACACACACAUAUAAAGUCCUAUCUGAAUCCUACAAGCUAUUGGUAACACACAGUGAACAGAAAUUCAUGUCAACAGUUGGCUGGAACAUUUCAUACACCCUCCCAACCAUAGUAGAUCUUAAGACUACAAAAACGGACAGAAGUCAUACUUGAAUUUCAAAUGUCUGUAGCUUCAUACACCUGUUCCAAAAAGAGCUAUCAAGAUAGAUAAUCUCUAGACUAAAUGAUUCAUUUGGGGACAUUCCAAAUCCCCUAUCCAAAAUUCAAAGUAUUUUUGCAUACCUUUUGACCAGCUUUGGUAUAGGCUAACAGGUACUUCUACAGUGGAUUUGUAUUAGCAUAAAGAAAUAAUGGACUGGACAACGGAACUCAAAGGGAGCUUACCAUUGGCUCUUCAUCCUGGAAAGAAGUGACUUUUGGCCGGGGGGGGGGGGGGCGGGGGGGGAGGGGAGGGAACACAGGGUUAAAUCAUAAUGAGGAAAACUAAGCUUAUUUCCUGCUGCUCUAAAGGCUAAGAGUCCAACUACACUGUAGAAUUAAUGCAGUUUGACACCACUAUAACCACCAUGGUUCAAUGCAAUGGAAUGAGUAACCAGAACACUUUGGAAGAAACUGCUAAAGACAUAAUAUAACUACAACUCCCAUGAUUCCCUAUUAUUGAAUCAUGGCAAUUAAAGUGGUGUCAACCUGCCUUAAUUCUACAAUGUAAAUGCACCCUAAAACAUGGGGUAAUAGAGUCAGACUACAUGAAAAGAGAUUCCACAAGAAUAUUAGUGGUAAGAGCUAUUUGACAGUGAAAUCCACUGAAUUAGCAUGUGGUGGAGUCUCCUGUGGAGGUUUUUAAAUAGAGGUGAAUGACCAUCUGCUGGGAAUGCUUUGACUGUAUGUUCCUGCAUGGCAGAAGGGGGUUGAACCAGGUGGACCUUGUUAUUUAACUCUAUGAUUCUAUGAUUUUAUUAUUAUUUGCCACAAUUUUGCUGGGGGGGGGGGGAAGAAAAGUUGAGUAGAUAUAGUCUGGAAACAUCAAUUUAUUGGCAUACUUAACAGAUUGUAACAAGUAAUCUUGUAAAAAAAAAUACCAUGUGAGAGGAGGGAAUUCACACAAGGCCAUAGUAAUGAUUUCUCUGAGCACAGGCUGCAUACAAACAUAAAAGUCCCUGUUCACAAAA